rnacentral:snRNA from 1 species
AUACCUUUCUCGGCCUUUUGGCUAAGAUCAAGUGUAGUAUCUGUUCUUAUCAGUUUAAUAUCUGAUACGUGGGCUAUUAGCCCACAUGAUAUUAAAUUUAUUUUUCUAUGGGGAGGGCCCAACACAGUAGCUAGCUAUUGGGGUCCUCGCUCGUCGCCCAUGCGUUGCACUGUAGCAAGGGCCUGGCGUACCCACC